GGUCCUACGGGGCGCAGCAGUAGGGAAUUUUCGUCAAUGGGCGCAAGCCUGAACGAGCAACACCGCGUGAGUGAAGAAGGGUUUCGGCUCGUAAAGCUCUGUUGUUGGAGAAGAAUGUGCGCGAGAGUAACUGUUCACGCAGUGACGGUAUCCAACCAGAAAGUCACGGCUAACUACGUGCCAGCAGCCGCGGUAAUACGUAGGUGGCAAGCGUUAUCCGGAUUUAUUGGGCGUAAAGCGAGCGCAGGCGGUUGCUUAG
rnacentral:rRNA from 1 species